AUACGAACCGGACAAACGUUAUUCGGAAUUAUUGGGCUUAAAGGGUGCGUAGGCGGCGCGGUAAGUGAGGUGUGAAAGCCCACGACUCAAUCGUGGAAUUGCGCUUCAUACUGCCGUGCUAGAGGGAGACAGAGGUAAGCGGAACUGAUGGUGGAGCGGUGAAAUGCGUUGAUAUUAUCAGGAACACCGGUGGCGAAGGCGGCUUACUGGGUCUCUUCUGACGCUGAGGCACGAAAGCUAGGGUAGCGAACGGGAUUAGAUACCCCAGUAGUCC
rnacentral:rRNA from 1 species